rnacentral:rRNA from 1 species
UACCGUGACGUAUGGGACUUAGACCGGUCCCCACCGUUCAAGUUUUCUUUACUGUUCUUCCUACAACGAGUUUAAAAAGUUCAACCACAAGUUGUAUAAGCCUUUUAAACCUGCUGUCGUUUCCUUGUUUAUCGCGAACCAGCCCUCCACCUACAUAGGUCGUUUUCCUUUCCUUCUUUUCCUUUCCUACUAUGAGAUAGGGUUUAGGGGUGUCAAGGUAACUUGUCUUCCAGCUGAGAGUCCAGUGAACGAGCGGUUAACCCACAGUCAGUAUGAUGUGAGAUGUUCUUUGAGUUCGAAGCGUUCUAAUCCACCGUGAGGUUAGCAGACUUCGGUAGGAACUUUCUUUUCUUAUCUUCUCUCUCCUAGUUCAAAACAAACAGUUAUUAACUGCUCUGGUGGAAUCGUCGAGGUUCUGGAUUCAAGUAACCAUACGUGUUGUAACACGUAUAACUGCUUUUCACCAAGAUAUACUGCUUUUACUUGUCUUUGAUGAUGGAGGAGGGCCUCCUUCUACUAGGCCAGUCUUGACAUAACCCUUUCACUACAAAGACUGGCGACAACGAGCUGGGUCUAUACUGCGACUUCCGUUAUACUGUAAGAGGCCAUUUUAACCACAUACCGGGAAACACGUUCUCUAAGGGCGACGAUCUUCUUCGCUUAUAUCUCGUUCUCCCUGGUAACUUUACUUCAGGCAGUUGCACUUGGCUGCCCAUUACUCCUCCAUAUACUAUCUUUUUCACCAAGGUCCUUAUUUCCUUCAAACCGGGCGUCUACUAUGAUUAGGUUAUAACUAGGUUGUUCUAUUGCACUCUUGCGUGUAAGAAGGGCCACUACGUCUCAAACGUCUUCGACACCGAUGUUGACCAGACCUGUAAUUUUAUUAUUUGGUCGGAGGUUUAAGAGGACUAGAUUUGCGUGAACUAGAACCUAUAAAGUCUAGGGAACUCAGAAACUGGCUAACGUCUCGUGGGUGCUGAUAGUUUCUUGACUAAGUUCCACAUGUCCUUCUUAAACUACUCAUACUACGGCCCUUUGAGUUGUCUUAUAAAGAUUGUGAAGUCUGGUAGUACCAUCUCCACUACUUGGUACCUCCUCUUUUAAGUAUGUUUUAAGGUGUAAACGCGUUCCUCUCUAACCUUUCCGUUCCUUAGGAUGGCGGAUCCUAAGUGAAAGGGGUACUCCAAAUACUUUUACGGUACCUCUAAGAUCUUGUUCUAUAGUACCUCAUC